rnacentral:rRNA from 1 species
GGCGGCAGGCCUAAAACAUGCAAGUCGAGCGCCCAGCAAUGGGAGCGGCGGACGGGUGAGUAACACGUGGGAAUGUACCUUUCGGUACGGAACAACGCAGGGAAACUUGCGCUAAUACCGUAUGCGCCCUUACGGGGAAAGAUUUAUCGCCGAAAGAUCAGCCCGCGUUGGAUUAGCUAGUUGGUGAGGUAACGGCCCACCAAGGCGACGAUCCAUAGCUGGUUUGAGAGAACGACCAGCCACACUGGGACUGAGACACGGCCCAGACUCCUACGGGAGGCAGCAGUUGGGAAUCUUGGACAAUGGGGGAAACCCUGAUCCAGCCAUGCCGCGUGAGUGAUGAAGGCCUUCGGGUUGUAAAACUCUUUCGACGGGGACGAUAAUGACGGUACCCGUAGAAGAAGCUCCGGCUAACUUCGUGCCAGCAGCCGCGGUAAUACGAAGGGGGCUAGCGUUGUUCGGAAUUACUGGGCGUAAAGCGUGCGCAGGCGGUCUUCCAAGUCAGUGGUGAAAGCCCGGA